AACGAACGCUGGCGGCAUGCCUAACACAUGCAAGUCGAACGGGAUCCUGGUUUCGGCCAGGUGAGAGUGGCGGACGGGUGAGUAACGCGUGGGAACCUGCCCAGUGGUGGGGGAUAACUGCGGGAAACUGCAGCUAAUACCGCAUGAGCCCGAAAGGGGAAAGAUUGAUCGCCAUUGGAGGGGCCCGCGUUCGAUUAGGUAGUUGGUGAGGUAACGGCACACCAAGCCUUCGAUCGANAGCUGGUCUGAGAGGAUGAUCAGCCACACUGGGACUGAGAUACGGCCCAGACUCCUACGGGAGGCAGCAGUGGGGAAUAUUGGACAAGUGGGGGCAACCCUGAUCCAGCAAUGCCGCGUGAGUG
rnacentral:rRNA from 1 species